rnacentral:lncRNA from 1 species
AGGAUGAAGUUUCUAACCUUUAGAAUACUUGAAUGAGUGAAAUCCCCAAGAAAUGGUCACAAAUCUGGUAGCACCUCCCCCUAUUUCGCCAUGGAUAGGGUGAAGCUCGAGCUGGAGGAAGAAAGAGGGGUAUUUAUAGGAGGGACUUUAGUACCGGUUGGGGGCACCAACCGGUACUAAAGGAGGGAGAAUUAGUACCGGUGCCCCAUUUGUACCGGGUUGGGGCAGCAACCGGUACUAAUGGGCACCCCC